UACGAAGGGGGCUAGCGUUGCUCGGAAUCACUGGGCGUAAAGGGUGCGUAGGCGGGUCUUUAAGUCAGGGGUGAAAUCCUGGAGCUCAACUCCAGAACUGCCUUUGAUACUGAGGAUCUUGAGUACGGGAGAGGUGAGUGGAACUGCGAGUGUAGAGGUGAAAUUCGUAGAUAUUCGCAAGAACACCGGUGGCGAAGGCGGCCAACUGGACGGUGACUGACACUGAGACGCGAAAGCGUGGGGAGCAAACAGG
rnacentral:rRNA from 1 species